GACGAACGCUGGCGGCGUGCUUAACACAUGCAAGUCGAACGGUGAAGCGCCUUCCUUUUUGGUGGGUGUGGAUGAGUGGCGAACGGGUGAGUAACACGUGAGUAACCUGCCCCCUUCUUCUGGAUAACCGCAUGAAAGUGUGGCUAAUACGGGAUAUUCUGGGUCUGUCGCAUGAUGGGUCUGGGAAAGAUAUUGUUUCGGUGGGGGAUGGGCUCGCGGCCUAUCAGCUUGUUGGUGGGGUGAUGGCCUACCAAGGCGGUGACGGGUAGCCGGCCUGAGAGGGUGGACGGUCACAAUGGGAAUGAGACCCGGGCCAGACUCCUACGGGAGGCAGCAGUGGGGAAUAUUGCACAAUGGGCGCAAGCCUGAUGCAGCGACGCCGCGUGAGGGAUGGAGGCCUUCGGGUUGUGAACCUCUUUCGCCAGUGAAGCAGGCCUGCCUCGUUUGUGGGUGGGUUGACGGUAGCUGGAUAAGAAGCGCCGGCUAACUACGUG
rnacentral:rRNA from 1 species